CACUUGUCGAGUUUUAACCACAAGUUCAUGUAUACAGUACGUACUAUGUGAUGCCAGUGUAAGGUAUAUGGGUAAAUAUCAGGAUUUCAGGCAUCUCACUCGAUAUUAAAUGUUGAAUGGUUUUUUGUAGAUGGAAAUCUCGAAAACCCUUCAACAUGUAUAGUGCAGGGUGUAUCAAAAAAGGUAAAACAAUUUCGGCAUGUUAUCGUGCGUUAUGGAUACUAAGUUUAUAGAUUUACUUUUCGCACACUAAUAAAGAUAGGCUUUUAGCUGCCAAAUGACACCGUUUUUGUAUCAUUAAUUGCGAUGUAAGAUAGUGAGAUACGAUACGAUUUAAAGUGGUCGGUCGAAAAUUAAAUAUUCUUCCAAUUUUUGAACAUUUACCUAUAAAUGCGGAUUACUUGGAUUAACCAAAUAUAGCAAUAGAUAAUUGAUUACCGUCAAUUUGUAAUAAUCAAUUGUUCACAUUUUCUUCGAGGCCUUUCAUUUGUUGACUCCAGCAACUGCUACUGUUGAGGCUAACGACCAAUUCUAAUUUUUUAGAUUCCUAGAUUCCUACAUGACUUAAAAUAUUGAUAUUAAUUCUUAAUACUUCUAGGAAUAAUACUAUUAUAAAUAUUUCCUAAUAGUAAUUACAAUAUCAUGCAAUGUCUAAAAUUAAUUGCUU
rnacentral:lncRNA from 1 species